rnacentral:rRNA from 1 species
ACAGAGGAUGCAAGCGUUAUCCGGAAUGAUUGGGCGUAAAGCGUCUGUAGGUGGUUUAAAAAGUAUUUUAUUAAAGAUUAGAGCUUAACUCUAGAUAUGUGAAAUAAACUUUUAGACUUGAGUUUGGUAGAGGUAGAGGGAAUUUCCGGUGAAACGGUGAAAUGUGUUGAUAUCGGAAGGAACACCAAAGGCGAAGGCACUCUACUGGGCCAAUACUGACACUGAGAGACGAAAGCGAGGGGAGCAAAUGG